AAUUAAAAAAAAUUUUUUUUUUCUAGAUUAAUAAGUUAUUUAGAGAGUUGGCUGAGAGGUUUAAGGCGUCUAGCUUGAGACUAGAAGGAUGUAAAAUUCCCAUAGGUUCGAAUCCUAUACUCUCUGAAUAAACAGGUUAGAGCCAGGUUGGUUAGGCGUCUCAUUUGGGUUGAGGAGUAGUUAUGUUCGAAUCAUAAUAACCUGAAAUAUAAAGAUAUGAAUUAUAUAAUAAGUAUAUAAAGAAACUACUAUGGAUAAUUAGCUAUAUAUUAUAAGAAAUAUAAUAAAGAAUUCUAAGAGAAAUCCAGUAAUAAACAAAGUGAACUGAAAUAUCUUAGUAACUUUAGGAAAAAAAAUCAAACGAGAUUAUUAAUUAGUUAAUAACUAAUUAGUAAUAGCCUAAAAGUAAAAUGGAUAAAAUCUGUUUGAAUAUAGGGGAACCUUCCUCUAAGGCUAAAUAUAAUAUAUAAGCGAUAGCGAAAAGUACCGUGAGGGAAAAUUUGAAAUAGUAGUUUUAUAAGCAGCUCGAGUAAAAAUUAAAUUAAUAAUGAGAGUGUACCUUUUGCAUAAUGGGUCAGCAAGUUAAUUUUAGAUGCAAGCUCCAUUAGGAGCCCAGAUAAACCAAUUAUGGAAAAAUGAAUAAGUAUCUAGAAUUAGACCCGAAGGCUAGUGAUCUUACCAUGAUCAGGGUUAUAAAGGCCCGAACGGGUUAUCGUUGUAUAGAUAUCCGAAGAAUUGUGGUAAGUUGGUGAAAGACAAAACUGACUAGUAUAGCUGGUUUUCCGCGAAACCUAUAUGAGUAGGUAACUUAACUUAUAUCUUAGUAGGUACAGAACUGUGAUCUCGGACAAUUUAUUGUCUAUAUCGGGGGAUCGUAGUGAUUUUACCGGAGAGUAUUUGCACUCGGAAUGACAAAGAUAGAUGUUAAGUAAUCGGACAUAGUACGAUAAGGUUGUAUGUCUAAAGGGAAACAGCCCAGAACAAAGGUUUAAGGUUCCAAAAUUAUUGUUAAGUGAAAUUAAGGAUGUUUUUUCUAAAAACAAUCAGGAAAUAGGCUUAGAAGCGGCCAUUUUUUGAAGAUCUCGUAACAGAGCACUGAUUAAUUUUAUAGGAAAAAACACCGAAAAUUUAGCGGAUCUAAACAAUAUACCGAAACUUUGUACACAAUAAUCUAGUAGUAUUAUUGUGGGGUAGCGGAACAUUGGGUAAUUACUUAUUAUAUAUUCUUUUUAAAGAAUAUUAUAAAUUAAACAUAUCUAUAAAUUUAGGAUAUGUUUAUAGUAAGAACCCAAGAGAGAAUGCUGACAUGAGUAACGAAAAAGGAUAACCUCGCCUUAAGCUUAUGGUAUUUUAUUUAAUUUUCGGUAUCUAAAAAAUUAAUCAAAAGAUAAUUUUGAUGAUAUUUUUGUUUUAAAAUAAAUAAAUAUAAACAAAACCUUUAUUUAGUAGUAAAGGUUCAGGAAAAUUUAUAUUUAUUUAGAAGACCGUACCUAAAUACUAUCACAAGUAAGCAAGUAGAGUAUACAAAGGCGUUUGAGAGAACAAUCAUUAAGGAACUCGGCAAAUUGACUACCGUAACUUCGGGAUAAGGAGGGCCAUUUAUAUUAAUUUAACCGAAGUAAAAUUCGGAUAAUUAUUAAAUUAAUAUAAAGAGGAAGCAUAAAAUAGUGUUGUACGACUGUUUAAUAAAAACAAAGCACUCUGCCAAGAUAAUAAAUCUAAGUAUUGAGUGUGAUGUCUGCCCAAUGUCGGCAGGGUAACGGAUUUAUCUUAGUUUUUAACUAAGGUUUUGAAGGAUACCCCGACGAAUGGCGGCCUUACCUAUGAGGGUCCUAAGGUAGCGGAAUACCUUGGCCGUUAAAUGCGGUCUUUGCAUGAAUGACGUAACGAUACAACAGCUGUCUCGAUGAUUGUCUCAGUGAAAUUGGAAUAGCAGUGCAGAUACUGUUUACCUUUAGAUAGACGAGAAGACCCUAUGCAGCUUUACUGUUACUAAUUCUAAGAAUUUUUCAUUAGGUUAAUUUUGAGUGUAUAAGGUAAUAGUCUUAUGACAAUGAAACACCUUUAUUUGUACCUAAUAUAUUCUCAAGGAUUAGAAGGCAGUUUAUGCGGGGCACAGAUCCCACAAAAAGUACCUGGGUAUAUCCAAAGUUGUAAAUUUGUAAAUGAUAGUUUACAAAUAUAUUUAAUUUGUUAUUAAUUAUUCUCAUAAUAAUACAGUUAUUAUUAGAUUAAGUUCAGUUUAUUUUUAUUCUAGGUAAGAUUUUAACUAUAUGGUGAAUAGAUGUAUUUUAAGCUUUUAAUUUUUAAAGGCUUAUUUUCAUAUUAAUGUUUUAUUAAUAUGAUGUUUAUACAUACUACAAAAGUUUAAUGGCUAAAUCUUGCCUUACUGUUUGACCUACGAGUCUAUCAGUCGCGUAAGCGGGGCAUAUGAUCACAAGAUGCUUUAAGGAAAGGUCUUGGAUUAAAGGAAAAGUUACGCUAGGGAUUUAGUUUUAAGUCCCCCAAUAUAAAAUAUAUUGGUAAUAUUUUGGGUAAAUUUCAAAGACAACUUAUUUUUAUAAGUGAAUUUGAAGCGAAACUUAUUUUAGCAUCAGUUUUAUACUAAGUAUAAAACUAAAAUAAGGACGUUCAACGACUAAUAGGUGAGUAUUGCUAACAAUAACCCUAUUUAUAAAUACCCAACAUCUUUAUUAAUAGGAAAAAUAUGUAUAAUAAUUAUUAUUAUUAUUGAUUAUAAUAAUAAUAAUGUAUUAGACUUGAUAAA
rnacentral:sRNA from 1 species